GCUGGUAUGACCGAGUGGUUAAGGUGUCAGACUUAAGUCUAGGUGCAGCAAGUAAAUAAACUCAUCUAUCUCUCAAAACCUCUGAUGGGUUUGCGCCCGCACAGGUUCGAACCCUGUUGCCAGCA